UACAGAGGUCUCAAGCGUUGUUCGGAAUUACUGGGCGUAAAGGGUUUGUAGGUGGCUUGCUAAGUCAGACGUGAAAUCCCUCAGCUUAACUGGGGAACUGCGUCUGAGACUGGCAAGCUGGAGUGCAGGAGAGGAACGCGGAAUUCCAGGUGUAGCGGUGAAAUGCGUAGAUAUCGGGAGGAACACCAGUGGCGAAGGCGGCUAUCUGGACGAAUACUGACGCUGAAGUUCGAAAGCGUGGGGAGCAAACAGG
rnacentral:rRNA from 1 species